rnacentral:rRNA from 1 species
CUCGGUUGCGACCCCAGGUCAGG